UCGUGGCUCUUUGUACCCUCAGCUUCGA
rnacentral:sRNA from 1 species